rnacentral:snRNA from 1 species
AACUCUGGCAUCUCCUCACUUGCGGACAAAUCUUUCGCCUUUUACUAAAGAUUUCCGUGUGGAGGUGCAGCACAAUGAGUCUAUAGAGUCAUUUUUGCACUGCCCCGACGCGGCUUCGCUGUUAAGGCCGUGA